rfam:Ovis aries breed Texel chromosome 14, whole genome shotgun sequence.
UCCCUGGUGGUUCAGAUGGUAAAACGUCUGUCUACAAUACUGAAGACCUGGGUUCGAUCCCUGGGUUGGGAA